rnacentral:lncRNA from 1 species
AUAUACUUAAGUUUAUUUAUAUAAUUGACUUAUUUGCAUGAUUUUUUCUUUCAUUUGUUCUUCAUAACACGUGUAAUGCUAUAUUUUAAUACUUCCUUUAAUACUUCCUUAUUUUUCUGUGAUACUAUAGGAAAUGAAAACAAUAGACAUCAUCAUUUAUGUCAUAUUACAGUGAUACAGAUGAAGAAAGUAUCGACGAAAUUAAUGCAAAACAGAUGCAAAAUAUUUCACAUAAGUCUCAGGUAUCAGAAAAUAUUAAUGAAAAUGUCAAUGACAAAGUUAAACUUGUUGAUCAAACUUAUGCAAGAGAAAAAGAGAUAAAGAUAGGAAAUGUUCAGAAAAAUGCAAAAACGAACAAUCAGGACAAAUUAAUAAAUGGAAAUAAGAAGGAUAAAUUAAUGAAUGGAAAUAAGAAGGACAAAUCAAUUUCUAAGUCUCACCAGCCAAACUAAGUCUCAUCAGCCAAACUUAGCAGCUUGUCAUACAUCGUUUUCAACAAAUUCCUUCAAUAAAUCACCUCUUAAGAAAAAUGAAAUCAGAGGUAGGACUAUAAUGGCUGCUAUAAAUGAUUUGCGAGCUCGCAUUGAUAUACUUCAUGUAACCAUCAUAAAAAUUUAUACUGCAACAUGUUCUCCUGUAGAGACAUCUGAUAAUUUAAUUGGAAUUCCAACUCUUCCAUUCUUUCAUUUCCUUGAAAGAAUUGGAUGACUGCGAGAAUUUUUUAUCACAAGAAGAAAACAAAUUGAUGAUGGUUGGACUUUUAGCAGAGCAUGGCAAAGAAGAUCUCAAAAGCUCUAUAUAUGAUGCAUAAACUAAUGACAAAUAAAGUUGCUGUAAAUUUUAAUUUUGAAGGGAUUAAUAGAGAAGGAACAACCAUUAAAAAGAAAAAGUUUCAAAAUACUUUAUCUCAUGGUCUUGUUAUUGCUGCUCAUAAAAAACAUAGAAAUGACAGAGACCUUGAGUUCUUUUAUAAUAAAGAAACUGCAGAUUCUUAUAUUGAAAACUGGUUGAAGAAUGCAAAAAAGCGUUUUAAAAAUGAAGAGCUAAAAUCAGAAAAAAAUCAGCAACGAAAUAAAGUUAACAAUGAUGAAGAA